UCAAGCUACAAAGAGCAUAUGGAGGAUGCCUUGGCACCAAGCGCCGAUGAAGGACGUGAUAAGCUGCGAAAAGCUACGGUGAGUUGCAAAUGAACUAUGACCCGUAGAUAUCCGAAUGUGGGAACACAACAGUGGUUAUGCACUGUUAUCAUUAUUUCGAAUCAAAUAGAGUAAUGAAGGGAACCCAGGGAACUGAAACAUCUAAGUACCUGGAGGAAAAGAAAGUAAAUCAACGAUUGCGAAAGUAGUGGCGAGCGAAAUUGCAACAGCCCAAACCUGUUUCGGAAACGAAACAGGGGUUAGGACCCCAAUAUGGGAGACACAGAUAGAUAGACGAGCAUUUCUGGAAAGUAAGACAAAACAGGGUAACAGUCCCGUAGUCGAAAUCUAUCUUGCCCCUAGGGAGUUCCAGAGUAGCACAGGACACGUGGAAUCCGGUGUGAAUGUGGGAGGACCAUCUCCUAAGGCUAAAUACGACUUGGUGACCGAUAGCGAAUAGUACCGUGAGGGAACGGUGAAAAGAACCCCGGGAGGGGAGUGAAAAAGAACCUGAAACCGUAUGUUUACAAUCGGAGAGAGCGAAAGCGAUCUCGUACUUUUUGUAGAACGGGCCGGCGAGUUACUUUGCGUAGCGAGGUUAAGUGGUUAAGCCACGGAGCCGAAGCGAAAGCGAGUUUGAAAGAGCGAAUUUUAGUUGCGUGAAGUAGACCCGAAACCAGAUGAUCUAGUCAUGAGCAGGUUGAAACCGUGGUAACACACGGCGGAGGACCGAACCCACGCCUGUUGAAAUAGUCGGGGAUGACUUGUGACUAGCGGAGAAAUUCCAAUCGAAUCUGGAUAUAGCUGGUUCUCCUCGAAAUAGCUUUAGGGCUAGCCUCUGCAUAUAGGUUACUGGGGGUAGAGCACUGAAUGGGCUAGGGGCCUUCACGGGUUACCAAACCUUAUCAAACUCCGAAUACCAGAUAACUGUUAGCAGGGAGUCAGACAGUGUGAGAUAAGUUUCAUUGUCAAAACGGGAACAGCCGAGACCUACAACUAAGGUCCCAAAGUAUAUGUUAAGUGGAAAAGGAUGUGUUGUCGCAUAAACAACCAGGAUGUUGGCUUAGAAGCAGCCAUUCAUUAAAAGAGUGCGUAAUAGCUCACUGGUCGAGUAACAAUGCGCCGAAAAUGUAACGGGGCUAAAACAUAACACCGAAGUUUAGGAAUGAAUGUUUACAUUCAUUGGUAGAGGAGCAAUGUCUAUUGGGCUGAAGUCAAAUCGGAAGGUUUGAUGGACUAUAGACAAGAGAGAAUGCCGGCAUGAGUAGCGAGAGCAUAGCGAGAAACUAUGCCGUCGAAAGUCUGAGGUUUCCUGGGGAAGGGUAAUCCGCCCAGGGUAAGUCAGGGACUAAGCUGAGGCCGAAAGGCGUAGGCGAUGACAAACUGGUAGAUAUUCCAGUACCACCAAAUUACGAUAAAGAACUGAUGCAGUGACACAGUAGGAUAGUGAAAACACGAUGAUGGAUAGUCGUGGCCAAAUCAUGAGGGGUCUAAUUUGUAAAGUACGGUUAGAGCGCACCCUAGGUGAUGAUGGGGAGUGAAAUUUAGUAACGAAGUUCCAUGAAUCACACUGGCGAGAAAAGCUGCUAAGGAGUAAUUGGGUGCCUGUACCGCAAACCGACACAGGUAGACGAUGAGAGAAUCAUAAGAUGAUCGGGAUAACGCUUGUUAAGGAACUCGGCAAAAUGACCCCGUAACUUCGGAAUAAGGGGUGCCAGUCGUAAGGCUGGCCGCAGAUAAUCGGCCCAAGCAACUGUUUAUCAAAAACACAGGUUUCUGCUAAAUCGCAAGAUGAAGUAUAGGAGCUGACGCCUGCCCGGUGCUGGAAGGUUAAGAGGAGAUGUUAGCGCAAGCGAAGCGUUGAAUUUAAGCCCCAGUGAACGGCGGCCGUAACUAUAACGGUCCUAAGGUAGCGAAAUUCCUUGUCAGGUAAGUUCUGACCCGCAUGAAUGGCGUAAUGAUUUGGGCACUGUCUCAACAGGGGACCCGGCGAAAUUGAAGUAUGCGUGAAGAUGCUAGUUACCCGCGACUAGACGGAAAGACCCCGUAGAGCUUUACUGUAAUUUGGUAUUGGAUUUCGGAAUUUAAUGUACAGGAUAAGUGGGAGGCUUUGAAGCAAGAACGUCAGUUUUUGUGGAGCCAACCUUGGGAUACCAUCUUUGCAAUUUUGAGGUUCUAACACCAGGCUGUUAUCCAGCUGGUGGACAUUGUCUGAUGGGCAGUUUGACUGGGGCGGUCGCCUCCUAAAGAGUAACGGAGG
rnacentral:rRNA from 1 species